rnacentral:rRNA from 1 species
AGCGUUAUCCGGAAUUAUUGGGCGUAAAGGGUGCGUAGGCGGGUUAUCAAGUCUUUGGUUAAAAUGCGGUGCUCAACGCCGUAGUGCCAAAGAAACUGAUAGUCUAGAGUAUGGUAGAAGUGAGUGGAACUCCAUGUGUAGCGGUAAAAUGCGUAAAUAUAUGGAAGAACACCAGUGGCGAAGGCGGCUCACUAGGCCAAUACUGACGCUGAGACACGAAAGCGUGGGGAGCAAACAGGAUUAGAUACCCUGGUAGUCCACGCCCUAAACGAUGAGUACUAAGUGUAGCCAGAAGGCUGUGCUGAAGUUAACGCAUUAAGUACUCCGCCUGAGUAGUACGUACGCAAGUAUGAAACUUAAAGGAAUUGACGGGAUCCCGCACAAGCGGUGGAGCAUGUUGUUUAAUUCGACGAUACGCGAAGAACCUUACCAGGUCUUGACAUACUCGGCAAAUCUAUAGAGAUAUAGAGGAGGUUAACCGGGAUACAGGUGGUGCAUGGUUGUCGUCAGCUCGUGUCGUGAGAUGUUAGGUUAAGUCCUGCAACGAGCGCAACCCUUAUUGCUAGUUACCAUCAUUAAGUUGGGGACUCUAGCGAGACUGCCGGUGAUAAACCGGAGGAAGGCGGGGAUGACGUCAAAUCAUCAUGCCCUUUAUGACCUGGGCUACAAACGUGCUACAAUGGCUGACACAAAGAGAAGCGAGCUCGCGAGAGUAAGCAAACCUCAGAAAAGCAGUCUCAGUUCGGAUUGAAGUCUGCAACUCGACUUCAUGAAGUUGGAAUCGCUAGUAAUCGCGAAGCAGAGUGUCGCGGUGAAUACGUUCCCGGGAUUUGUACACACCGCCCGUCAAACCAUGAGAGUUUGUAAUACCCGAAGCCGGUGGCCGAACCGCAAGGAAGGAGCCGUCUAAGGUAGGACAGAUGAUUGGGGUUAAGUCGUAACAAGGUAUCCCUACGAGAACGUGGGGAUG